UCAGAGGGACGGGACCUCUGGCUUUCUCGUCCAAUGGGUUUUGAGAAGGAGGUGACGCGAGGAGUAUUUUCUUUGUCAAGGAUCUUCUCUGUUGACUGUAAAAUUACUUUCAUGGUUGACCUCAAUCAAACAGACAAGAUGUUUUCUACACGGACAAAAUCAACACGACUAUUUAUGCAAAUCAAACAUUAUGAACUGGAGGGUGACGAGGCUUUCCAGGAGUUUGUGUUGGUGCAUCAUAACCGCAGCCAGUUGCCUACCUGGGCCAAUGACUCUCUGCUCCAAUCAGCAGCCCCCGAGACUGGCCAGUUGAGGAGUCAGAAGAAGAAGCUUGAUUACCUCAACUUUGAGUCAGACGAGAAGACGAAGGAUGAGGAGUAAGAUGAGGAAGAAGACCAGGUUAGGUGCUAAUAAAGAGGCUCUGAAGUCUGGCCUGUCUGAUAUGGAGUACCUGUGGCACAGAGACGGGGUGCUGCGGAGGAUGAAGAUGAUGAUGAGGAAGAUGAACCUGCCCCUAUGCAGCAGACAGACAGUGCCUAUGAGAGUGGGGAUAGAGAUGGUAUCCAGAGGGCCAAAGCACCAGUCCCUUCACUGGAUAAAAGCCAGGGCUAACCUAGCAAGCCUGUCAAACAGCAGGAGGUUUGGCAAAUGCCUAACCUUUAACACAUAGCAUUUGACCUGCACCCUUGAUCCACAAACCUUGGGACUGUAGAUUUAAACUGAAAUCCUACCUCCAAUGAACUGAUGGAGGAUAGCACUUAAAAUGGCAUAUUGUGUAUCAUUCUGACAGUGAAAUUAGGGUUGAGGGUUUUCAUUGCCAUAUCCCCUUUGGUAAUGUGUGUGUGUGUCCCUAUCUCUCUGUGCCCCAUAGACUGAAUUCACAGUGAAACUGCGAGAAUGUCCCUUCAACGUCAAAGAGCAACAAGUGCGAGAGUUCAUGACUACUCUGAAGCCUGCAGCCAUUCGAAUCAUCAAGAAUGCCACCGGCAACAAAACUGAGUAUAUGUAUGUGGAUCUGCG